rnacentral:misc_RNA from 1 species
GUUGGUGAACCAGCGGAGGGAUCAUUACCGAGUUUACAACUCCCAAACCCCUGUGAACAUACCUUUUGUUGCUUCGGCGGGAUCGCCCCGGCGCCUUCGGGCCCGGACUCAGGCGCCCGCCGGAGGACCUAAACUCUUAUCUUCUUUAGUACCUUCUGAGUGAUAUAAGCAAAUAAAUCAAAACUUUCAACAACGGAUCUCUUGGUUCUGGCAUCGAUGAAGAACGCAGCAUCUGACUGACUACGUGGUU